ensembl:lncRNA
CGCGCAGCCACCGCCCUUCCGCUGAGCCACGGGAGCGGCCUCGGAGGCACCGCGUGGGCAUCGCUGCCCCAUAAGUACUGCCCCAUAUGGACUGCUGCCCCAUAACUACUGCUCCAUAAGGACUGCCCCAUAAGGACUGCUGCCCUAUAACUACUGCUGCCCCAUAAGGGCUGCUGCCCCAUAAGUACUGCUCCAUAAGUGCUGCCCCAUAUGGACUGCUGCCCCAUAAGGACUGCCCUAUAUGGACUGCUGCCCCAUAACUACUGCUGCCUCAUAACUACUGCCCCAUAAGUACUGCCCCAUAAGUACUGCCCCAUAAGGACUGCUGCCCCAUAACUACUGCUGGCCCAUAAGUACUGCCCCAUAACUACUGCCCUAUAAGGACUGCCCCAUAAGGACUGCUGCCCCAUAAGGACUGCUGCCCCAGAAGUGCCGCCCCAUAACUACUGCUGCCCCAUAAGUACUUCUGCCCCAUAAGGACUGCUGCCCUAUAACUACUGCUGCCCCAUAAGUACUGCCACCCCACAAGUACUGCUCCAUAAGUGCUGCCCAUAAGGACUGCUGCCCCAUAACUACUGCCCCAUAAGUACUUCUGCCCCAUAAGGACUGCUGCCCCAUAAGUACUGCCCCGUAAGUACUGCUGCCCCAUAAGUACUGCUCCAUAUGGACUGCUGCCCCAUAAUUACUGCUGCCCCAGAACUACUGCUGCCCCAUAUGGACUGCCCCAUAAGGACUGCUGCCCCAGAAGUACUGCCCCAUAACUACUGCCCUAUAAGCACUGCCCCAUAAGGACUGCUGCCCCAUAAGGACUGCCCUAUAAGCACUGCCCCAUAUGGACUGCUGCCCCAUAAGUACUGCUGCCCCAUAAGUACUGCCCCAUAAGUACUGCUGCCCCAUAACUACUGCUGCCCCAUAACUACUGCCCUAUAAGCACUGCCCCAUAUGGACUACCGCCCCAUAAGUACUGCCCAUAAGGACUGCUGCCCCAUAAGUACUGCUGCCCCAUAAGCACUGCCCCAUAACUACUGCUGCCCCAUAACUACUGCCCUAUAAGCACUGCCCCAUAUGGACUGCCGCCCCAUAAGUACUGCCCCAUAAGGACUGCUGCCCCAUAAGUACUGCUGCCCCAUAAGCACUGCCCCAUAAGGACUGCUGCCCCAUAAGUACUGCCCCAUAACUACUGCCCUAUAAGCACUGCCCCAUAUGGACUGCUGCCCCGUAAGUAAUGCCCCAUAAGUACUGUUGCCCCAUAAGUACUGCUGCCCCAUAAGGACUGCUGCCCCAUAAGUACUGCCCCAUAUGGACUGCUGCCCCAUAAGUACUGCUCCAUAAGUGCUGCCCCAUAAGUACUGCUGCUCCAUAAGUACUGCCCCAUAAGUACUGCUGCUCCAUAAGUACUGCCCCAUAUGGACUGCUGCCCCAUAAGGACUGCUGCCCCAUAAGUACUGCUGCCCCAGAAGUGCCGCCCCAUAAGUACUGCUGCCCCAUAAGUACUGCCCCAUAAGUACUGUGGCCCCAUAAGUGCCACCCCAUCAAUACCACCCCAUAAGUGCCAACCCAUAAGUGGUGCCCCAUAAGUGCUGCCCCAUAAGUACCGCCCCAUCAGUGCUGCCCCAUAAGUGCAGCCCCGUAAGUACCGCCCCAUCAGUGCUGCCUCAUAAGUGCAGCCCCAUAAGUGCCGCCCCAUAAGUACCCCCCCAUAGCACAGCCCCAUAAUACCCUCCCCAUAGCACAGCCCCAUAAGUACCCCCCCAUAGCACAGCCCCCAUAAUGCCCCCCACAGCACAGCCCCAUAAGUGCCUGCCCCACACAACCCCAUCAGUGCCCCAUAUCACAGCCCCAUAAGUGCCCCAUAGAACAGUCCCAUAAGUGCCCCCAUAAAACAACCCCAUAAGUACUGCCCCAUAACACAGCCCCAUAAGUACCACCCCACACAGCCCCAUAAGUACUGCCCCACAGCACAGCCCCAUAAGUGCCCCCCACAGCACAGCCCCAUAAGUGCCUGCCCCACACAACCCCAUCAGUGCCCCAUAUCACAGCCCCAUAAGUACCCCACACAGCCCCAUAAGUACUGCCCCACAGCACAGCCCCAUAAGUACUGCCCCAUAGAACAGCCCCAUAAGUACCCCCCCAUAGCUCAGCCCCAUAAGUACUGCCCCACAGCACAGCCCCAUAAGUGCCCCCCACAGCACAGCCCCAUAAGUGCCUGCCCCACACAACCCCAUCAGUGCCCCAUAUCACAGCCCCAUAAGUACCCCACAGCACAGCCCCAUAAGUACUGCCCCACAGCACAGCCCCAUAAGUACUGCCCCAUAAAACAGCCCCAUAAGUACCCCCCCACAGCUCAGCCCCAUAAGUACUGCCCCACAGCACAGCCCCAUAAGUGCCCCCCAUAGCACAGCCCCAUAAGUGCCAAUGCCAUAAACCACUGUUCAGUGCUGCCUCACGCAGCCCCAUAAGUGCCCACCCCACACAUGUGGGCCGUGUGCAGUUGCAGCACGCAGCACCGCAUGCAGCGCAUUGCAUGGGCUGCAGCACAGGUUUGCAGCGCGUUGCAUGGAUUGCAGCGUGGCUGCAUGCAUCACAACCUGAUGCAUGGGCUGCAGCACAGAUUGCAGCACGGCUGCAUGCAUCACAGCGUGUUGCAUGGGCUGCAGCACAGAUUGCAACACGGCUGCAUGCAUCACAACGUGUUGCAUGGGCUGCAGCAUAGGUUGCCACGUGUUGCAUGCAUCACAACGCGCUCCAUGCAUCACAACGUGUUGCACAGGCUGCAGCACAGAUUGUGGCAUGUUGCAUGGAUUGCAGCAUGGCUGCAUGCAUCACAACAUGUUGCAUGGGCUGCAGCAUGGCUGCAUGGGCUGCAGCACCGAUUGCAGCAUGGCUGCAUGCAUUGCAAUGCGCUGCAGAGAUCACAGCUCAGCUGCACGGGCUGCAGCACAGAUUGCAGUGCGUUGCAUGGAUUUGCAGCGUGGCUGCAUGCAUCACAACGUGUUGCAUGGGCCGCAGCACGGCUGCAUGGGUUGCAGCACAGUGCAUGGAACGGAUCAGAGCACGGCUGCAUGGAUUGCAGCACCAAUCAGAGCACAUUGCAUGGAGCAUAGCACGGCUGCAUGGAUUGCAGCACAGACUGCAUGGAACAGAUCAGAGCACAGCUGCAUGGAUUGCAGCACAGCUGCAUGGAUCAGAGCACAGCACACUGCAUGGAACAC